rnacentral:rRNA from 1 species
UUUCCUACGGGACGCAGCAGUGGGGGAUAUUGCACAAUGGGGGGAACCCUGAUGCAGCGACGCCGCGUGGGUGAAGGAGCGUUUCGGCGCGUAAAGCCCUAUCGGCAGGGAAGAAAUGACGGUACCUGACCAAGAAGCCCCGGCUCAAUACGUGCCCGCAGCCGCGGUAAUACGUAGGGGGCAAGCGUUAUCCGGAAUUACUGGGGGUAAAGGGAGCGUAGACGGUUAAGUAAGUCUGGAGUGAAAGGUCGGGGCCCAACCCCGGGACU